AGAGUUUGAUCAUGGCUCAGAAUGAACGCUGGCGGCGUGCUUAACACAUGCAAGUCGCACGAGAACGCUUCAGCUUGCUGAAGCUAGUAAAGUGGCGUACGGGUGAGUAACGCGUGGGUAAUCUAUCUCUGAAUUGGGGAUAACAUUGCGAAAGCGAUGCUAAUACCGGAUAAUAUCCAUUAAACCUCGGUUUUUUGGAUCAAAAGGUGGCCUCUACAUGUAAGCUACUGUUUGGAGACGAGCCCGCGUACCAUUAGCUUGUUGGUAGGGUAACGGCUUACCAAGGCAACGAUGGUUAGCUGGUCUGAGAGGAUGAUCAGCCACACUGGAACUGACACACGGUCCAGACUCCUACGGGAGGCAGCAGUGAGGAAUUUUGCGCAAUGGGGGAAACCCUGACGCAGCAACGCCGCGUGAGUGAUGAAGGCUUUCGGGUCGUAAAGCUCUGUCAAGUGGGAAGAACCCGCGCCGCACAAAUAGUGCGGUGCGCUGACGGUACCACUGAAGGAAGCACCGGCUAACUCCGUGCCAGCAGCCGCGGUAAUACGGGGGGUGCAAGCGUUAUUCGGAAUCAUUGGGCGUAAAGAGCGCGUAGGCGGUCUUCUAUGUCAGGUGUGAAAGCCCGGGGCUCAACCCCGGAAGUGCACUUGAAACUGGGAGACUUGAGUAUGGGAGAGGGAAGUGGAAUUCCUGGUGUAGCGGUGAAAUGCGUAGAUAUCAGGAGGAACACCGGUGGCGAAGGCGACUUCCUGGACCAAUACUGACGCUGAGGCGCGAAGGCGUGGGGAGCAAACAGGAUUAGAUACCCUAGUAGUCC
rnacentral:rRNA from 1 species